rnacentral:rRNA from 1 species
GAUGAACGCUGGCGGCGUGCCUAAUACAUGCAAGUCGAGCGAACGGACGAGAAGCUUGCUUCUCUGAUGUUAGCGGCGGACGGGUGAGUAACACGUGGAUAACCUACCUAUAAGACUGGGAUAACUUCGGGAAACCGGAGCUAAUACCGGACAAUAUUUUGAACCGCAUGGUUCAAAAGUGAAAGACGGUCUUGCUGUCACUUAUAGAUGGAUCUGCGCUGCAUUAGCUAGUUGGUAAGGUAACGGCGUACCAAGGCAACGAUGCAUAGCCGACCUGAGAGGGUGAUCGGCCACACUGGAACUGAGACACGGUCCAGACUCCUACGGGAGGCAGCAGUAGGGAAUCUUCCGCAAUGGGCGAAAGCCUGACGGAGCAACGCCGCGUGAGUGAUGAAGGUCUUCGGAUCGUAAAACUCUGUUAUUAGGGAAGAACAUAUGUGUAAGUAACUGUGCACAUCUUGACGGUACCUAAUCAGAAAGCCACGGCUAACUACGUG